GUCUAGGUGACCACUGAUGGCCAACAUGGAGUGGGCCAGGCUGAACUUCUGAGCUGCUACUGCUCCGAAGGGGUCUGGAGAUUUGUGAACCAGGCUGGCAUCGUGGGUGAAGUAGAGGGCUGGGGAGCUGGGGCGAGAGUCAAGUGGGGGCACCUGGAGGCGGAGAGGUAGGAACCAUCACAUGAAAAGAGAAAAGAAAGGAACCAGCUGCCUUAAAACUUGCCUAUUAGCCUUCCUCCCUCUCCACCUCCCCACUCUCUUUCGAGGACCCAGGAGUCCUGUCCCCGCAGUCCUUCCCUCCUCCAGCUCUGGAGAAGGCAUUAGGCAGGUACUAGAAGCAAGAAGUGGGUCAACCUAAGGAAUGGGAGGAGUGGUGUAUAGGACAUUAGAGAGAGUCUCCCAAGUGGGAGGAGGGGGUGACUGACGGAGGAACCCAGAAUAGACUCCAAUGCCCCAGCUCCCACUGGGCCGGGACCCCUAAUCAGAGGCUACGCAGCGUGUCUGCCUUCUUUUAUGUUUUAUUUUUAUUUUUUUGAGACAGUCUCACUCUGUCACCCAGGCUGGAGUGAAGUGGCACAAUCAUGGCUCACUGCAGCCUUGAAUUCCUGAGCUUAAGCGAUCCUCCAGCCUCAGCCACCCGAGUAGCUGGGACUACAGGCAUGCACCAUCAUAACUGGCUAAUUUUUUAUUUUUGGUUAACACAGGGUCUCAAGAUGUUGUCCCGGCUGGUCUCAAACUCCUGGGCUCAAGUGAUCCUCCUGCCUCAGCCUCCCAAAGUGCUGGAAGAAUGAGCCACCACUCCCAGCCUGUGCCUUUACUGGAGUCUCGCUCUGUCGCCCAUGCUGGAGUGCAGUGACGUGAUCUUGGCUCACUGUAACCUAUGCCUUCCAGGUUAAACUGAUUCUCCUGCCUCAGCCUCCUGAGUAGCCGGGACUACCGGCACCUGCCAUCACACCUGGCUAAUUUUUUUAUUUUUAGUAGAGACGACAGGGUUUCACCAUGUUGGCCAGGCUGGUCUUGAACUCCUGACCUCAAGUGAUCUGCCCGCCUCGGCCUCCCAAAAUGCUGGGAUUACAGGCGUGAACCACUGCACCCAGGCUGCCUUCUUAAAAUGACUCCAAUGUCACCUCUUAGAGAGGCAUUUCCCCAUCAUUCACUGGUUUACUGAACUAUUUCAUUUUUUUAUAGCACCUAACAUUAUCUGAAAUUAAAGUAUUUAUUGUGUCUCUCCCCUGCUAGAAGGUCAGUUUGCUCAGUAGCUAUUUGUAGAAUGAAUGGAUCCUCAGAAACUGCUCCUCCAUCCCCUCACCCACCCCCCACUCUCGCUUCCCCUCUCAAACUUCUCGGACUCAGGUGGAAUUCUGCUCCUGCGCUCUGCCCUAGGGUUGGGGGGGGAGCUGGUUGUGGAGCUGGGGGGAGGCGGAGCCUGGGCGUGGACCUGCAUAGCCCAACAGGCUCUGGGGGCAGCAGCAAAAAGGGCGGGGGCGACAGGAACAUGACAAGACGCCUCUGUGAGGCCCCGGGAGGCCCCAGCUUCUCAGAAAAGCCAAGAACAGAGAGUCCAGGGUGGUUAAGGGACAGAGCAGAGGAAGGGGGCCCAGGUGGUGUCCCCUGGCCCUUCUCCACCACUCCCCUCUGUUAAGAGGGAGAAGAGGCAUGAGGGGACGUGGAAGGGAGACAGACUUUUGGGCAAGGAAAUAGCAAAACAGAUGCGUGCAAACAGAAGACCGUCAGGAGGUGGGGGAAGGCUGGGGAGUAGGGGGCACUGAGAGAGAGAGGCAGGGUCUGUGGCCCCAAGAGAAGCUCAGGCCAGGCUUAAGGACAGAGAGCAGGGAAGCUGGAGGCCAAGGGGGUUUGCUUUGGAAGAGUCUGGGGACAGGACAGGAAGAGAAACAGCAUCUUCUCCCCUGGGGUGGGUGCUGAAUGCAAGAGUUCAAGAAGAGUUGGGGGAGGGGGGGUAGGAGGGGGCAUCACGAGAGAUGUGAGCUUGAGGCCAGGAGGGGUUUGGGGGGAGCCAGUCCUGACCGGUCCUGACAGGACCCAGACAUCCAGUCCCAGGUUAUUUUUAUACUGUGGUUUGUGCCCAAGGCCAGGAAGGGGAAAGAGUUCGCAUCCUCACACUCCCUGCCUUUCCCCAGACCUCCGAGGUGUUAUAUUCUCCCACAGGACAGAAGUAUCCAACCUUCUAUCUCUGGCUGCUCACCCCCACCAUGGGGACCCAGGCAUCCUGCCCCCACAGCCUGGCUUGUUCCUCUUUUGGAGACAGGAAGGAGAAAGAGUAUGGGACUGAACUCCCUUCUGGGGCUCUUCUCUCCCACUCCACAGUGGUCACCCUCGAGUUAUCAAUCACAGAGAGGCUCAGAUGGACGGGGGUGAGCCAGACAACUGGGGGGUGAAAUGGAUCAACCAGCAGGCCCCCUCCCUGUCCCUGAGAGGUGUUCCCCCCACCCAAUUUCUCAGUGACACUUGGCUUACAGCAAAGCUGGAGGCAGGACUGAGAUGGGUGGCUGGGGGAAAAGAAAGACCCCCACAUUCAGGAUGGGGCUGCAGUGCAGAGACUGGCAGCGCGCAAGGCCUACCUUUUACUUUUCCUCCCCAAAUCCUGGCAGCUCCUCCCCUAGGGACCCAGCUACCCAGCUAUCCAGCUGGGGCCUCCACCCUCAUCACCUAGAGGCAGAGGGGCUGAGACCAAGACAGAAGAAGGCCUGAUGAGGGGGCCACAUAUGCUACAGGCUACAUGAAGACCAAGACAGAGAAUCAGAGGCCAGGGAGAAAGAGAGAGGGUGCAGAAAAACAGGAAGGAGGCUGAGACAGAAAAUGAAGUAGGAGGAAGGGGCUUCAGAGUGACCUGGCAGGCACAGAGAAGAGGGCUAUCUGAUCUUAUAAAGUGAUGGAGAAGGAGGAGGAGAGGGGGGGGAGGAGGAGGAAGGAGGCUCAAGAUAGAGGUUAGGCCAGGGCUGAUGGGCCAGCCCUAGAACCCAGGUCUUACCUGCCCCAUCUCUUCUGGAGCACCCAACUCCAUCCGCAGCCGC
rnacentral:lncRNA from 1 species